GUCUAUGGCCAUACUACCCUGAAUGUGCCUGAUCUUGUCUGAUCUCAGAAGCAAAGCAGGGUCGGGUCUGGUUAGUACUUGAAUGG
rnacentral:rRNA from 1 species